rnacentral:rRNA from 1 species
GAGUUUGAUCCUGGCUCAGGACGAACGCUGGCGGCGUGCUUAACACAUGCAAGUCGAACGAUGAACCGGUUUCGGCCGGGGAUUAGUGGCGAACGGGUGAGUAACACGUGGGCAAUCUGCCCUGCACUCUGGGACAAGCCCUGGAAACGGGGUCUAAUACCGGAUAUGACCACCGGCCGCAUGGUCUGGUGGUGGAAAGCUCCGGCGGUGCAGGAUGAGCCCGCGGCCUAUCAGCUUGUUGGUGGGGUGAUGGCCUACCAAGGCGACGACGGGUAGCCGGCCUGAGAGGGCGACCGGCCACACUGGGACUGAGACACGGCCCAGACUCCUACGGGAGGCAGCAGUGGGGAAUAUUGCACAAUGGGCGCAAGCCUGAUGCAGCGACGCCGCGUGAGGGAUGACGGCCUUCGGGUUGUAAACCUCUUUCAGCAGGGAAGAAGCGCRAGUGACGGUACCUGCAGAAGAAGCACCGGCUAACUACGUGCCAGCAGCCGCGGUA